rnacentral:lncRNA from 1 species
GUUCAGAAGCAACCAACAACAGUCUCUCUUUUUAUUAAUUUCAGGUCUCAGGAGGGAAUCUGAAUGGUGACUGGAAUCUCCACUAUAAAAUCGCUCACACAUGUGCACCAAGAUGUAGGUCCAAGUGUUACUGCAGCUGUUCUAGUUCCAACAAAAACUAGAAACAAUUUAUGUGCACACGCCAGGAAGAACACAAGGACCCAGUGUUACUCGACACAUCUACUGUCUGCUAUAUCUGGGGGUAAAGUGCAGUGUAGUGAUCAAGAGGAAGGCCUACAGCCCAGCUGUCUAAUCUCACCUAUGAGGUCUUUACAUUCUCAUAAAUAUAGCAUAUCCUUGGCACAGCUGUAUGGAUUCAAUAUAUUCUGAAGGAAAAAAGGUAGGGAAUAGUCAUGUAUCCCCAUAUUUGGGUGUAGAGAAGAACACUGACUUAACUGGUAAACCACCCUCUCUUGUGGCACAUCAACUUGAGUUUCUGUAGUCCCAUGAAUGAACUCUUAACUCUUGCAAUUAGCUAAUUUAAUAAGUAUUAUAUUGACUCUCUACCAGGAGUAGAUUCUUUAGGGAAGAAAUAUUAACAAAUUGACUAAUAGUUUGAAUUUUCAUUACGUUACAUAAUGUUUGGUUUCAUAUCAAGAAACAGGUUGCAGAUGUUAGGUUUUUUUUUUUCCGAAUAGUAAUCAAUGUCAAUUUAUGAUGCUUAUGGGUAUUUUUUUUUGAGAAUGUAGAAGAUUUUAUCUGAAAUCAGUGAGCUGUCUUGAUGUUUCUUGUUUUUUACUUUUUCCUGACCAGUUACGAAAAUUGCUUGACAUGUCAUAUAAAGACAAAGAAUUCAGGCAUGCAAUAGAUAUUGACUUGUAUAUUUUUCACUAACAUUUGCUGACCUUUUGGGUCAAUAUGUUUUGAAAUUUACUUAACAAGCCAAUGUAACUUAUUUCAAUUUAAUUUAAAUUGCUUUAAAUUGCCAGAGCUUUUCCUUUUCCUUUUUUACAAAUACAAAACUAUUGCCAGAAUAUAUUAACAUGUAUGUUUUUAAAAAAAGUUUCCUUGGGAAUCAGAAGUGUCUCACAUUAUUAUAGGUUGUUUUUUUUCUUUUCAAAAUAAUAGAAGCAUAUUUAAAAUGACCCUUUGUCUUUCCCUCCUUCAUCUCAUGUGCCCUUAUUUCCUUUAAAGAGCUAUAAUGUCUAGAAAGCUGUACAAACAAUUAAGCUAAAUCAUUUUGUAAGCGGUUCUAUGAAAUGCAAGAGUGAUUUUUUUCUUAAAGUCCAAAUGUGUAACUCAGCUUACAUGAGCAUAUAAGCAUAUUUUGCUUAAAUUACAUUUCCAUCUGACAAUAUUAAUUUCAUCAAGGAAGCUUAGUAUAAAAUUAAUUAUAGCUAUCAUUUAUGUUAUUUCAUCUUCCCCUUCCAUUGAAGCUUCAAUGAGAAUUCAUCAACUGAAGGGCAUGAUUCACAUUUUAACAACAAUAAUAAAGAAAAUAACCAAAACUACUUUUUUUCCCUC